GACCAAGGAGUCUAACAUGUGCGCGAGUCGUAGGGUUACGCUCAAAGCCCGAAGGCGCAAUGAAAGUGAAGGUCGGCCUCGAUUGCCGUUACCUAGGCGGGAUCCGUUCGGGCUUACCGGUCGUUCGCGGCUGAGCCCGGCGGCGCACCGCCGGCCCGUCUCGACCGCAUCGCCGGUGAGGCGGAGCGAGAGCGUACACGUUGGGACCCGAAAGAUGGUGAACUAUGCCCGGGCAGGACGAAGCCAGAGGAAACUCUGGUGGAGGUCCGUAGCGAUUCUGACGUGCAAAUCGAUCGUCGGACCUGGGUAUAGGGGCGAAAGACUAAUACAACCAUCUAGUAGCUGGUUCCU
rnacentral:rRNA from 1 species